AAAUUGAAGAGUUUGAUCAUGGCUCAGAUUGAACGCUGGCGGCAGGCCUAACACAUGCAAGUCGAACGGUAACAGGAAUCAGCUUGCUGAUUCGCUGACAAGUGGCGGACGGGUGAGUAAUGUCUGGGAAACUGCCUGAUGGAGGGGGAUAACUACUGGAAACGGUAGCUAAUACCGCAUAACGUCGCAAGACCAAAGAGGGGGACCUUCGGGCCUCUUGCCAUCAGAUGUGCCCAGAUGGGAUUAGCUAGUAGGUGGGGUAACGGCUCACCUAGGCGACGAUCCCUAGCUGGUCUGAGAGGAUGACCAGCCACACUGGAACUGAGACACGGUCCAGACUCCUACGGGAGGCAGCAGUGGGGAAUAUUGCACAAUGGGCGCAAGCCUGAUGCAGCCAUGCCGCGUGUAUGAAGAAGGCCUUCGGGUUGUAAAGUACUUUCAG
rnacentral:rRNA from 1 species